AUGCUUCAUCCUUAGUUCUCAAAAAUAAUACCCAUGUGUAUCUUAAAAAGUCAUCAACUAUUAUAAAUGUAUAAAAUUUACCAUUAAUACUUGAAUGUCUUUCCAGUCCAAAUAAAUCAAGAUGAAGUAGUUGUAAAGGAGAAGAGGUUGAUACCAUAUUCUUUGUCGUAAAAGAAGUUCUUACUUGUUUUCACAGUUGACAAGGAAUACAUAUUCCUUUCUUUUCAAACCUGAUUCUUGGAAACCAUUUAACGAGAUUCUUUGACGAUAGUUUCUUGAUUAAGUCCAUGUGAACAUGUCCCAUCCUUUUAUGCCAUAGAUAAGCUUCAUCUUGUACUAAAGUAAGAUAUAUUUCUUCAUCAUGUUACUUAAAAUCAAGUGUAUAUAUAUUUCCUUCUCUUUGUGCAACUAGAGUAGUAUUGUUAGUACCAUGAAAUAUUAUGCAUUUAUCUUUUUUAAAGUUAACUUGAUGGCCAUUAUCCAUUAAUUGACUAAUACUAAUUAAAUUGAAUUCAAGACCAUUAACGAGGUGCACAUUAUUUAUACUUACCUUGCCAUUACUAAUUUUACCUUUUCCAAUUAUCUCGUAAGUUUUAUUGUCUCCAAACGUGACCGUUCCAUUCUUCUUUUUGAUAUUUAGUUCUACGAAUUUUGAUUUAUCACCUGUCAUGUUUCGAGAACAUCUGCUAUCAAGAAUCCAUUUUUGAGAUGGAAUUCUUGCCUUUAAACAUACCUAUCAAGAAAGAAUAAUUUAUCCUUUUGGUACCCAUAUCUUUUUGGGUCCACUUAUGUUAGUAGCAUGUAAAUCAUUCUUUUUAAGCCAUACCUUUUUAACCUUAUUUCGUUUCUUAAAAAAAUUUAUAUCUAAAUGACCUUUAAUACCAUAAUGUUUACAAGUUGUGAAAGGAGAGCAAUAAUUUAAACUAAACCAUGACUUUGAUUUUAGCAUUUUCAUAUUACUCUUUUUAUGCAUAUAAUCAUAACCAAUUCCUUGUCUUUCAAAACUAGGUCUUUGUUUACCUAAUAUGACAUUUAAAUUUUCUUCACCUUGGACAAAUUUAGCAAGAGAUAAUUUUAAUGAAGCUAUUUCUUUUUGAAGUUCAUUAUUAGGAGAGGUUUUAACAGGAGAUUUAACACUGAAUGCAUCAAUAUACACAUCUCUCAUUUUUAGCUCAUUAGUCAAUUUUUGGACUUCAUUAUUCAAGAAAUUUACCUUAUUGAAAAGUAUUUUGUUAUAAUUGUCUAAAUAAUCAAUCUUAGCAAUUAAAACCUUUUCUUCUUUACAUGUAGAUUCCUUUUCAAUUUCUUUCUUUUCAUCUAUUAGUGAAUAUACUUCACUCAUUAAAGUAUUAACUAAACCUCUUAAGCACGCAUUCUUUUCUUUUAACUUCUUAUUUUCUUGUUCUAAUGAGUUCAGUUCAUUAAGAGAUACCUGAUUAGAUUCACCUUCAAUUCCCACAAAACAUACUUGUGUUAUUUCAUCUUUAGCAUCGAUCUCCACAUCGGAUUCCUCAUCACUCCAACUCACAAGGGCUUUGUUCUUCUUGUGAUCUUUGUAGUUUGUCUUCCCUUUGUUCUUUAAUUGAAAGAAAUCUUUCUUGAAGUGACCAAGACGUCCACAUUCGAAGUACGUCUCUUCAGUUUGCUUUCCUUUGAGUUUAUUCAAAUUGAAAGUAUUUCUUCUCUUAUUCUUCCUUUGUAGUAGCCCCUUGAGUCUUCUUGAUAUCAUGGCUAUUUCUUCAUCUGAGUCAUCAUCAAGCUCCUCUUCAUUAUCUGUAGUAAGAGCUAAGACCUUUCAUCGAGGAGUUUCCUCCUCAUCAUCAUAUCUCUUUAACUGAUGUUCAUAUUCUUCUAAUUCACCAAAUAAAGUUAAAGUAUCCAUGGAAGAAAUAGUGGCAGAAUCUUGAAGAGUGGUGAUUUUAGAAGCAAACCUUUUGGGCAUAGCUAUUAAAUUCAGGCUACUAUAUUGAUGAAUUCAGCUUACUGAAUAAUUAGGACCUACUAAAUUGACUGAUUAUUUUUAAGAAAAUAUCCUUCAAAAUUUAUAACUUAGAUAAAAUACUUUGUGUUUAAAGAAUUAUGCAAAUAUCCAAAUCUUAAUUAUUAAGGCAAAUAAAUUAUUUAUGUGAAUAAAUAAAGUAAAACAAAUAAUAAAAUUAACACCAAAAUUUUUUACGUGGUUCAGCUAUUACCCUUUAUAAUAAUAGCCUAGUCCACGUCCAAUAUCAACUAGUAUUAGAGGCUCAAUUUAUUUAUUUCUUUAUAAAUAAACACUGAUUACAAAACAGAUUCUUACAAAAAUUAAUAACAAUUAAUUUCUUCUUGAGCACACUUGCUCUUUGUGCAUCUAUGCACUCUUCAAGCACCUUUGCCUCUACCUAUUGUGGGAUAAUGUUAGCAGCCUUCAUACCCUCGUCAGGCCCAAAGACACAGCCACAAUAGACAAAGAAUGUACAGGAUAUAAAUGGAAACCAUAGUUGGUCAGAUCAUUAUGGUCUCUAUUUGAUAGUUUUUCCUUUUCUUCUGAGGAGGCCUAUGUUUGGUGUCUUGCUAUAUUAUACCACCUUCCUCCACCAAAACAUGGCUCAAGCACAAUAUUAAGUUAUUAACACAUAUUAAGAAUGUCAAAUUAGAGGUGAGAGUGUAAAAUAAGUUCCAACUUUACCCUUAUAUGGCUGUACUACAAUAUUAGUGGGUCUCAUAUAGUUAUGACACAAAUACAAGAUACUAUAGUCUUUUUUUCCACUUUAUAACUCCGACUUUAGUACAGGAGUAUUUCUUUCACUGUGGGGGACGAAGCAGGAAAGGGUGGCAAUAAUUAGUUUGAAAAUGGGACUAGAGAUGAAUUGCCUAGGCAUUAAGAAAAGUUAGUUUAAAGAUGAGAAUAGAGGUGAGAUAAGUAAGCAAGAAAAGUAUAAGAGUAGGACUUGUGUCCCAUAUGAUUGGAUUUACAAUAUUUCUUUGGUAUUCGAACCCAAGGUACAGUUUUAUCCUCUAGUUAUCUGAAAAAAAGACGGAGAAAGUUCUCUACAACAAGAUACUCUCCCCAGUUGCCUCUAAGGCCACCUCAUCAUAACCAACAUCACACAAAACAGGAAGAGAUGUAGAUACCCCCAAUAUAACCAGCUAUUGUGCAACAGCACAAAAAAUAAUCAGUUAUUACCUCAAAGAAUUUUUGUACACAACCAGCUAUGAAGCAUAUGAACAAUCUGUGACUGCAAGGCUGCAACCAAACCAUCCUCUCUAAUUCCUAGCCCAUAGAUGUCAAUCCCAAACCAAGUAACCAACCCUAAGCUGCAUGUGCAAAAAUUAUAUUCUUUCUGACCUUCCUGCCACCGCAACUGAACACCUCAAGAGUAAAUGUCAACUCAGACCCAACUACUCUUUUAACACCCUCCAUCCUAAAUUAUCCACAUCCGACUUCACACCUGGUCCAUAGAGCUUAAUACUAAUAAUAGAACUCCAAAAUAACAUACAUAGAAAGACCAGACUAGACUAUGACUACCCAGGGAACAUAACAUAAUCGCAAAAUUUAGGCCAUCAGAUUAUUUGCGAACUCAGAAAAGGUCUUAUAGUUGGUGCCAAGAAUCAAAUCCUAAUAUGAGCAUGAUGACUAUGCUAUAAAAGGUUAUAAAUUCUUGAAGAAGUCAGUCAUGUUCUCCUUGAAUCUCUCCACAAAUUUACACUAUGAGAAUCCCUCUGACCUCCUCAGGAGUUUCAUUUUCCUAAUACAUCCAUAAUUACCAAGCUAUUACAAACUUCAUCAGCUGUCCUUUUCUAGUACUUACUUCUACUCUAAUUUAUCAAAUAGCCAUAAAGUUUCAGUUCUUUCCCUUUUUUUCCUCUUUGCCAGAAUCAAGUAGAGGUUAAUACAUUUAUUGAUAAGGUGGUUUAGUAUAUUACUUAUGUAGUAAAGUAAUUCAAACAAUACCUUUGGAACAUAACAUUGACCUAGCAGCCACAUCAAAAAUGUAUCAAGUCUGCAUCUUAUUUUCUCUUUAUUUUUAUUUUUUUUGAUAAGAAUGUGUUAAGUGAAUGCUACCACAACCAAGACUAUAAGAUACAUCACAGUGUUGAUUCUUGAUGCAUAUAUUAUCAAUAUCAAAACUAUUAAACCACAACAAAAUCAGCCAACUACCAAAUUGUGAUAAUAAGAGGGAAAAGGGAAAAUCAACUAUCAAAAACUGCACUAACAAGCAAAUUCAAUUCAAAGAUCAAAUUUUUUGAAUACCCAUAACCUGAAAUCAAGCAAAUAAUAAGACCCAGAUCAAAAACUUGAUUAAAAUCCAUAAAGCAUACAAUACUUCUAAACUUACACCCACACAUCUCAACAAUACAAAUGCUUUUAUAGGUACAACCGAAAGAACAAAAAUUGCAAAAUAUGAGAGAUUAAAGUAUAAAUACCUGCUGGAGGAGACUAGAUAGAAGGCCAAAGAGCUGGGCAUCUGGUUGUGGGGUUGCUACAUCUUCUUCCGCCAUUUGAAUUUUUGAUUCUUGUGUUUGUAUGUGAUUGUGUUUAUAUAUAUAUGAAUUUGGUCUGCAGUUUCUCUAUCCUCUGCUCUGUUCUGUCAAUUUGCUAAUUGCAAUUAGACAGCAACGAUUUAACUAUUUCGGGAUUGAUUUACAGGUUGGGUAGUUCAAUUCCGGACGAAAACCGGGUGAACGGGUGUCAUGUUAGUUGAGAAUUUUUGGGGAAUUUAUUUGCUUCGUCUUUUUUUUUCUUUUUCCCCCUUUAUUUUAGUAAAUAAUAAAUUUCUAGAAUAUAUGUUAUUAAUUUUCCUUUUUUGUCUUUUUUUCCCUUACAGUGGUAGAGGUCAUUAUUUCCA
rnacentral:lncRNA from 1 species